rnacentral:misc_RNA from 1 species
GAUGAAGAACGUAGCGAAAUGCGAUAAGUAGUGUGAAUUGCAGAAUUCAGUGAAUCAUCGAGUCUUUGAACGCACAUUGCGCCCCCUGGUAUUCCGGGGGGCAUGCCUGUCCGAGCGUCAUUGCUGCCCUCAAGCACGGCUUGUGUGUUGGGCCCCGUCCUCCGAUCCCGGGGGACGGGCCCGAAAGGCAGCGGCGGCACCGCGUCCGGUCCUCGAGCGUAUGGGGCUUUGUCACCCGCUCUGUAGGCCCGGCCGGCGCUUGCCGAUAAACCCAAAUUUUUAUCCAGGUUGACCUCGGAUCAGGUAGGGAUACCCGCUGAACUUAAGCAUAUCAAUAAGCGGAGGA